rnacentral:rRNA from 1 species
UACGAAGGGGGCUAGCGUUGUUCGGAAUUACUGGGCGUAAAGCGCGUGUAGGCGGGUCUUUAAGUCCGGGGUGAAAUGCCAAGGCUCAACCUUGGAACUGCCUUUGAUACUGGAGAUCUUGAGUCCGGGAGAGGUGAGUGGAAUUGCGAGUGUAGAGGUGAAAUUCGUAGAUAUUCGCAAGAACACCAGUGGCGAAGGCGGCUCACUGGCCCGGAACUGACGCUGAGACGCGAAAGCGUGGGGAGCAAACAGG